rnacentral:lncRNA from 1 species
UCGUUCCUUCUUUCUUUUUUGAUUCCGCCCCAACCCCAACCCUAAUCAUUUUCUUCGAAACAGCCGCCUCUAAAAUCUCUCAUCUUCUCAAACUCUCUCUAAACCACUCGAAACCCUAGCCACCUAUAUCGUCGUCUCUGACCAGUUCUCACCGGAGUCCAUGGCUUCUCAGGCCAUGGACAACCUGUGCACACUUCUCCUCACCCCAAAUUGUGGGUAUUCAAGGUAUUUAAGGUCUAGCCUUGACCAAGCCUGUUCAGAUCCUUCACCAAUCUGAGAUCCCUUGGCUUCUUUGGCACCGUUCCGACAUGUUCGAGCUUUGACAGGGCUUAGCCAUGGCCCAGACUUGUUCAAAGACCAGAUCGUUGAGAAACCCUAAGUAUCUUGAUUGAGGUUCUAUCUUUCCUUGUUUUCUUAGAUCUGUAACAGAUCUGUGUUCUACUCAAUGUUUUAAUGCUUUUCCCCAACUUUCCUUUUUAAAAAUUA